CUCUCUCUCUCUCUCUCUCUCUCUCUCUCUGGUUGAACAAUGGCAAAUUCGAGGGUGAUCGUUGCCUUGCAUGUAGCAGCUUGCAUACUACUUGCAGACGUCGCUCGUGCUCAGAGCCAGAAUGCUACGACCGACCCUUCUGAAGUGGCGAUUCUGAACUCGAUAUGGUCAACAUGGGGACUCACUUCACAGACGC